UCUGUCCACCUUGCUGUGCUUCAGCUCCAACUCCUUGGGAUCAGCCAGUAAACAGUUUUUUGUCAGUUUCCUUGAGAGCUCAGGAGAAAACCAAGGGUUAAUCCUAGCGCUUGUCUUAAUCACCAGAGUUACUGGUUUUGUAUUCCUUGUAUUUGCCGUGCUGUAUUUGAUCUGGUUUCAUAAGACUCACCACAAAGCUAGAGGGUCUGGAGGUGAUCUCAACACAGACAUAUAACUAAUGAAAGAAAAAUGAGGUACCAAACCCAAUCAAAGAUGUCCAUUAUGUAAACUCUGCUGCACUUACUCAAGCAGAAAACCACCAAGCAAAUGCAAGCACCAACUUGUCUUAUGAAAAUGUAGAAGAAACCAGAGAGUGUUCAGGAAAGAUAAAAUAACACCUGGUUCAUGUCAGUGUGAAUUAGUCAAGAAAUAAC